CAAAAGCGAUGACUUCCUCCACGGAAGGCUCCUCCCUCAUCUUGCGCCGAGUGACACUCUCGGCCUUCAUAGGUGGCUGACGGACGGGGGAUGGCGGGUUCAUAUCUUGCCCCCCUGCAUCUGUUCCGGGCCUCGAACCUGCACCCACACCCGGGGUCGACCAAAGGAACCCAAAUCGAUCCACGGCUGAAGGUGAAGUUUGCACGGAUUGAAGGUGGAGACAGCUCGAGGAGCAGUGGAUCCAAAGGUUGCCGACCAAGAGCCAAAGGUUUCGCGCGAAGCGGUGCGUGUAGCCCAGUGCCCGACGCGCGCGCAUGGCGAUACGCUAGCGCACGUCACCCUGCCUCUUCCACCACCUCACCCUCGCGCGCGUGUCGUCGUCCGGCGCUCUCCGCAAAGCCUACUACCUCAUCGUCGAACACAUCAC
rnacentral:lncRNA from 1 species